rnacentral:misc_RNA from 1 species
GUGAGUCAUCGAAUCUUUGAACGCACAUUGCGCCCCUUGGCAUUCCGGGGGGCACACCUGUUCGAGCGCCAUUUCGACCCUCAAGCAUAGCUUGGUGUUGGGCGCGGUCCCCGACGCAUGUCACUGCAGGACCCGCCCGUAACUCGUAGGCGGCCGCCGCCCGCGCCCCCAGCGUAGCAAGCUCACGCGUUCGCUCGGGGACGGCGCGCCCGGCCUGCCACUACAAACACUUCUCCGUUUGGCCUCGGAUCAGGUGGGGAUACCCGCUGAACUUAAGCAUAUCAAUAAGCGGAGGA